GUCUUCUCUGAUUCUUGUAGUGACUGACUGCAAAACCGUUCAAUCAAGAAGAGCCUUUGGCUCAUUUUCAGGACCAGCAGAGAAGGGGGUGGAGGAGCUGAAUUUCCCUCUGUGUCCAUGCUUGGCAGCAUCAGGAGCUAAACACAGAGGUACCCAGGAUCUCCACUUCAUGCUUGGAAACUCCCUACCACUCAGGGUCACCCAAUGUAGGCAAAGACCAGUCCAGCUUGCACUCAGCACUCAGUCAGGAUAAAUGUAUCUUUGAAGCCCAGCCACCAUGUUUGGAGGAAGCCUGGACCAUAGGUAGAGGCCAUGGUCUAGGUGUUCAGCC
rnacentral:lncRNA from 10 species